rnacentral:rRNA from 1 species
GACGAACGCUGGCGGCGUGCUUAACACAUGCAAGUCGAACGGAAAGGCCCUGCUUUUGUGGGGUGCUCGAGUGGCGAACGGGUGAGUAACACGUGAGUAACCUGCCCUUGACUUUGGGAUAACUACAGGAAACUGGGGCUAAUACCGGAUAGGAGCUCCUGCUGCAUGGUGGGGGUUGGAAAGUUUCGGCGGUUGGGGAUGGACUCGCGGCUUAUCAGCUUGUUGGUGGGGUAGUGGCUUACCAAGGCUUUGACGGGUAGCCGGCCUGAGAGGGUGACCGGCCACAUUGGGACUGAGAUACGGCCCAGACGCCUACGGGAGGCAGCAGUGGGGAAUAUUGCACAAUGGGCGGAAGCCUGAUGCAGCAACGCCGCGUGCGGGAUGACGGCCUUCGGGUUGUAAACCGCUUUCGCCUGUGACGAAGCGUGAGUGACGGUAAUGGGGAAAGAAGCACCGGCUAACUACGU